GACAGAGGGUGCUAGCGUUGUUCGGAAUUACUGGGCGUAAAGGGUGCGUAGGCGGGUUGGUAAGUCCGUGGUGAAAUCCCCAAGCUUAACUUGGGAACUGCCGUGGAUACUAUCAAUCUUGAAUAUCGUGGAGGUAAGCGGAAUAUGUCAUGUAGCGGUGAAAUGCUUAGAUAUGACAUAGAACACCAAUUGCGUAGGCAGCUUACUACACGAUCAUUGACGCUGAGGCACGAAAGCGUGGGGAGCAAACAGG
rnacentral:rRNA from 1 species